rnacentral:rRNA from 1 species
UACGGGGGGGGCAAGCGUUGUUCGGAAUUACUGGGCGUAAAGGGCUCGUAGGUGGCCAACUAAGUCAGACGUGAAAUCCCUCGGCUUAACCGGGGAACUGCGUCUGAUACUGGAUGGCUAGAGUUUGGGAGAGGGAUGCGGAAUUCCAGGUGUAGCGGUGAAAUGCGCAGAUAUCAGGAGGAACACCGGUGGCGAAGGCGGCUCUCUGGACCGGAUCUGACGCUGAGGCGCGAAAGCGUGGGGAGCAAACAGG